UACAGAGGGUGCAAGCGUUAAUCGGAAUAACUGGGCGUAAAGGGCGCGUAGGUGGUGGAAUAAGUUAGAUGUGAAAUCCCUGGGCUUAACCUAGGAACUGCAUAUAAUACUGUUUCGCUAGAGUAGGGUAGAGGGAAGUGGAAUUUCCGGUGUAGCGGUGAAAUGCGUAGAUAUCGGAAGGAACACCAGUGGCGAAGGCGGCUUCCUGGACCCAUACUGACACUGAGGCGCGAAAGCGUGGGGAGCAAACAGG
rnacentral:rRNA from 1 species